GGUGUGGGUAUCACCGUGCACUCUCUGACAAGACACACUUGCUUUUCAGAUCUGGUAUUCACGCGUUUCCAUCGAUAUUUAAAGCUUCGCUAAGGUCAAAAAGAAUUUGUAAUGGCUGGAUUAACUGCCUGAGAGAGGAUGCAGAUAAAAAUGGAG